AGGACGAACGCUGGCGGCGUGCUUAACACAUGCAAGUCGAACGAGGCCUUGUGCCUAGUGGCGAACGGGUGAGUAACACGUGAGCAACCUGCCCCUGGCUCUGGGAUAGCCUCCGGAAACGGGGAUUAAUACCGGACAUGACCUGCCUCCGCAUGGUGGCGGGUGGAAAGUUUUUCGGCCGGGGAGGGGCUCGCGGCCUAUCAGCUUGUUGGGGGGGUAACGGCCCACCAAGGCGACGACGGGUAGCCGGCCUGAGAGGGCGACCGGCCACGACUGGGACUGAGACACGGCCCAGACUCCUGCGGGAGGCAGCAGUGGGGAAUAUUGCACAAUGGGGGGAACCCUGAUGGCAGCGACGCCGCGUGCGGGAUGAAGGCCUUCGGGUUGUAAACCGCUUUCACCAGGGACGAAGCGGAAGUGACGGUACCUGGGAAGAAGCGCCGGCUAACUACGUGCCAGCAGCCGC
rnacentral:rRNA from 1 species